rfam:Rattus norvegicus chromosome 17, whole genome shotgun sequence.
GAGGGAUUAGCUCAGGUGGUAGAGUGUUCACUUUAGCAUGUGAGAGGUAGUGGGAUCGAUGCUCACAUCCUCCA